AGAGUUGAUUAUGGCUCAGGAUGAACGCUAGCGAUAGGCCUAACACAUGCAAGUCGAGGGGCAGCACAUGAGUAGCAAUACGAUGGUGGCGACCGGCGCGACGGGUGAGUAACACGUAUGCAACCUACCUUUAACAGGGGAAUAACCCGUUGAAAAACGGACUAAUACUCCAUAACACAGGGGUCCCGCAUGGGAAUAUUUGUUAAAGAUUUAUCGGUUGAAGAUGGGCAUGCGUUCCAUUAGCUUGUUGGUGAGGUAACGGCUCACCAAGGCUACGAUGGAUAGGGGAACUGAGAGGUUUAUCCCCCACACUGGAACUGAGACACGGUCCAGACUCCUACGGGAGGCAGCAGUGAGGAAUAUUGGUCAAUGGAGGCAACUCUGAACCAGCCAAGUCGCGUGGAAAAGGAUGAAGGUCUUAUGGAUUGUAAACUUCUUUUGCAAGGGAAUAAAGUGGGGGACGUGUCCUCCUUUGCAUGUACCUUGCGAAUAAGGAUCGGCUAACUCCGUGCCAGCAGCGGC
rnacentral:rRNA from 1 species